rnacentral:rRNA from 1 species
CUCGCUCAGGAUGAACGCUGGCGGCGUGCCUAAUACAUGCAAGUCGAACGCUUUGUCUUUAACUGAUAUGAAGAGCUUGCUCUGAUUUGAUUUUAUCUGACAAAGAGUGGCGAACGGGUGAGUAACACGUGGGUAACCUACCUCUUAGCAGGGGAUAACAUUUGGAAACAAGUGCUAAUACCGUAUAAUACCAACAACCGCAUGGUUGUUGGUUGAAAGAUGGUUCUGCUAUCACUAAGAGAUGGACCCGCGGUGCAUUAGCUAGUUGGUAAGGUAACGGCUUACCAAGGCAAUGAUGCAUAGCCGAGUUGAGAGACUGAUCGGCCACAAUGGGACUGAGACACGGCCCAUACUCCUACGGGAGGCAGCAGUAGGGAAUCUUCCACAAUGGGCGCAAGCCUGAUGGAGCAACGCCGCGUGUGUGAUGAAGGGUUUCGGCUCGUAAAACACUGUUAUAAGAGAAGAACGGCACUGAGAGUAACUGUUCAGUGUGUGACGGUAUCUUACCAGAAAGGAACGGCUAAAUACGUGCCAGCAGCCGCGGUAAUACGUAUGUUCCAAGCGUUAUCCGGAUUUAUUGGGCGUAAAGCGAGUCGCAGCACGGUUAUUUAAGUGCGUGAAGAUGAAAGCCCUCAGCUCAACUGAGGAAUGGCUUUGGAAACUGGAUGACUUGAGUGCAGUAGAGGAAAGUGGAACUCCAUGUGUAGCGGUGAAAUGCGUAGAUAUAUGGAAGAACACCAGUGGCGAAGGCGGCUUUCUGGACUGUAACUGACGUUGAGGCUCGAAAGUGUGGGUAGCAAACAGGAUUAGAUACCCUGGUAGUCCACACCGUAAACGAUGAGUGCUAGAUGUUCGAGGGUUUCCGCCCUUGAGUGUCGCAGCUAACGCAUUAAGCACUCCGCCUGGGGAGUACGACCGCAAGGUUGAAACUCAAAGGAAUUGACGGGGACCCGCACAAGCGGUGGAGCAUGUGGUUUAAUUCGAAGCAACGCGAAGAACCUUACCAGGUCUUGACAUCCCUUGCUAAUCCUAGAAAUAGGACGUUCCCUUCGGGGACAAGGUGACAGGUGGUGCAUGGUUGUCGUCAGCUCGUGUCGUGAGAUGUUGGGUUAAGUCCCGCAACGAGCGCAACCCUUAUUAUUAGUUGCCAGCAUUCAGUUGGGCACUCUAGUGAGACUGCCGGUGACAAACCGGAGGAAGGUGGGGAUGACGUCAAAUCAUCAUGCCCCUUAUGACCUGGGCUACACACGUGCUACAAUGGCAUAUACAACGAGUCGCCAACCCGCGAGGGUGCGCUAAUCUCUUAAAGUAUGUCUCAGUUCGGAUUGUAGGCUGCAACUCGCCUACAUGAAGUCGGAAUCGCUAGUAAUCGCGGAUCAGCACGCCGCGGUGAAUACGUCCCCGGGC